CCGGCCCCUAAAGAUGCUGUCGGUGUGGCUGCUGUGUCGCUUGUGUGUCAGUAGGUGGCAGAGAAGGGAGAGGCUGUGUCUACAAUCCCCUUUUCCUAAUAACCUUCUCU
rnacentral:snoRNA from 1 species